AGAGUUUGAUCAUGGCUCAGGAUGAACGCUGGCGGCGUACCUAACGCAUGCAAGUCGAACGGAGCGUGAAGGAGCAAUCUGACACGCUGAGUGGCAAACGGGUGAGUAACACGUGGGCAAUCUAUCUUGGAGUGGGGAAUAACGGCUCGAAAGGGUCGCUAAUACCGCAUGCCGUCGUGAGACGAAAGGGUUGAGCAAUCAGCCCGCCCCGAGCGGAGCCUGCGAUCGAUCAGGUAGUUGGUGAGGUAACGGCUCACCAAGCCGAUGACCGAUAGCUGUUCUGAGAGGAAGACCAGCCACACUGGGACUGCGAGACGGCCCAGACUCCUACGGGAGGCAGCAGCGAGGAAUAUUGCGCAAUGGAGGGAACUCUGACGCAGUAACGCCGCGUGGGGGAAGAAGACCUUCGGGUUGUAAACCUCUUUUCUGGAGGACGAGCGAGGACGGUACUUCAGGAAUCAGUCUCGGCUAACUACGUGCCAGCAGCCGCGGUAAGACGUAGGAGGCGAGCGUUAUCCGGAUUCACUGGGCGUAAAGCGCAUGUAGGCGGAUGGUCAAGUCGCAUGUUAAAGCCCCCGGCUCAACCGGGGGAGGUCAUGCGAGACUGGCGGUCUUGAGGGCAACAGAGGCACGUGGAACUCCCGGUGUAGCGGUGGAAUGCGUAGAGAUCGGGAAGAACACCCGUGGCGAAGGCGGCGUGCUGGGUUGUGCCUGACGCUGAGAUGCGAAAGUGUGGGGAGCAAACGGGAUUAGAUACCCCGGUAGUCCACACUGUAAACGAUGAACCCUAGGUGUGGGGGGGUAAAACCCUCCGUGCCGAAGCCAACGCGUUAAGGGUUCCGCCUGGGGACUAUGAGCGCAAGCUUAAAACUCAAAGGAAUUGACGGGGGCCCGCACAAGCAGCGGAGCGUGCGGUUCAAUUCGAUGCGACACGCAGAACC
rnacentral:rRNA from 1 species